UCUUAUGUACAUGCCUACAUUGUUAAUGCAUCAAAUCCCUUCAGAACUCCAUAGUUAAGUGCUCUUGGGCUAGAGUAGUACUAGGAUGGGUGACCUCCUAGGAAUUCCUAGUGUUUCACAUGCC
rfam:Picea glauca, whole genome shotgun sequence.